rnacentral:rRNA from 1 species
UACGUAGGGGGCAAGCGUUGUCCGGAUUUAUUGGGCGUAAAGAGCGUGUAGGCGGCUGGGUAGGUCCGUUGUGAAAACUCGAGGCUCAACCUCGAGACGCCGAUGGAAACCCUCCAGCUAGAGUCCUGGAGAGGAAGGCGGAAUUCUCGGUGUAGAGGUGAAAUUCGUAGAUAUCGAGAGGAACACCGGUGGCGAAGGCGGCCUUCUGGACAGUGACUGACGCUGAGACGCGAAAGCGUGGGGAGCAAACAGG